rnacentral:rRNA from 1 species
UCAGAUCGCAGUCUGCAACCCGACUGCGUGAAGUCGGAAUCGCUAGUAAUCGCGGAUCAGCAUGCCGCGGUGAAUACGUUCCCGGGCCUUGUACACACCGCCCGUCACACCAUGAGAGUCGGGAACACCCGAAGUCCGUAGCCUAACCGCGAGGGGGGCGCGGCCGGAGGUGGGUUCGAUAAUUGGGGUGAAGUCGUAACAAGGUAGC